rnacentral:rRNA from 1 species
UACGGGGGGAGCAAGCGUUGUUCGGAUUUACUGGGCGUAAAGGGCGCGUAGGCGGUCAGCACAAGUCAGUUGUGAAAUCUCCGGGCUUAACUCGGAAAGGUCAACUGAUACUGUGCGACUAGAGUGCAGAAGGGGCAACUGGAAUUCUCGGUGUAGCGGUGAAAUGCGUAGAUAUCGAGAGGAACACCUGCGGCGAAGGCGGGUUGCUGGGCUGACACUGACGCUGAGGCACGAAAGCCAGGGGAGCGAACGGG